UACGUAGGGGCCGAGCGUUGUCCGGAGUUACUGGGCGUAAAGCGCGCGCAGGCGGCUCGUCAAGCCUGACGUGAAAGCCCCCGGCUCAACCGGGGAGGGUCGUCGGGGACUGGCGGGCUUGAGGUCGGCAGGGGUUGGUGGAAUUCCCGGUGUAGUGGUGAAAUGCGUAGAGAUCGGGAGGAACACCAGUGGCGAAGGCGACUUCCUGGCCUGUUCUUGACGCUGAGGCGCGAAAGCUAGGGGAGCAAACGGG
rnacentral:rRNA from 1 species